UUUUUUUUUUUCUUCUUUCUUAUAAAACCUAGGUUUACUUCCAGUCUUCAUCAGGAGACAUUAUGGAAAUGCGUGAAGGUGGGAUGCUGAGAUUUUCAGUGUGGAAAUGAAGAAGGAAAGACUCCAUGUGUAGGACCACACUCAACUUGAAGUAAAUUAGGGAUUCUAAAAGGCAAAUAACCUAGUGCGGAUUCCUUAUCCCAUUGCUUUUAUUACAAGGUCAAUGAGCAUAGCUUGAUGGGGGUUUUUUCUACACAAAUAUGUCCCUGCAACUAAAUCCGAGAUUAAUGCCUGAAACGUUUCCCGCACCCCCUAAGAGCCCCCUUAUUCUCCUUUCCUGUCAACCUCUCCUGGAAAUUAACCACUCUUCAGGCGUCUAUCAUCCAUUCUGUGUGUUUUGGAACUGCCUAGCCGUGGAAACAUACAGGUCUCUUUCUGUGCCUUGCUACUUCUGCUCAAUUUUAUAUGUGUGAUACGCAUCCCUAUUCUUGCAUGAAGCAGCUAUUCCCUUUUUUUCAUAUAGCUUAGGCCAUAUGAAGAAUAUAAACCAAUUCCAUGGCCUUAGUGAUGGCCAUUGUGGAGGGGGGGGGGUCUAUCCAGUUUGGGGCUAAAAUGAACAAAGUUCCUGGCAAGAGCUACUACCCAAUGAUUUUUUUUUUUAUAACAAAUGACUUCCCCACCAACGCUGUAUGAAAGUUGUUUCUGUCCUCACCAAUACUUGGCAUUUUCUUUCCUUUUAACUUUCUCCAGGCUGCUGGGUUCCAACCUCAUAGUUUGAUGCAUCUUUGGUUACAUUAAGAUGUAUUAUCAUACGGAGUUGUUUCCCUCGUUUUCAAGUAUUCUUUUUUUUUUUUUUUUUUUUUUUUUAAUUUUUGUUGUUGUUGUUGUUGCUAUUUCUUGGGCCGCUCCCGCGGCAUAUGGAUGUUCCCAGGCUAGGGCAGCCCAAGAAAUGGCAAAAAGACAAUAAAUAAAUAAAUAAAUAAAUAAAUAAAUAAAUAAAUAAAUAAAAUAUAAAUAUAUAUAUAUACACACAUACAUCAUACAUACAUACAUAUAUGUAUGUAAAAUUACACGGAACUGGCUGACAUGAUCAUGGAGACCAGCAAAUGCAGUAUCUGCAAAGCUUGUUUUUCAGUUCAAAUGCAAAAGCCAGAUGCUGCUAUGGAAACAGGAACAGCCCAUGUCCCAGUGCGAACCCUAAUGGGCAGGAAAAUUCUCUUAUUCCAGGGAAGGAUCCGUCCUUGUUUGUACUAUGAGGCUUUCAACUGAUUAGACGAGGCCCACCACAAAUACAGAGGGCUAUCUGUUGUACUCAGUCUACUGAUUUAAAUGUUCAUCUCAUCCAGGACACACUCAUGGAAACACCCAGAAUAAUGUUGGAGCAACUCUCUAGGCACCUCGUGGUCCACUCAAGCUGAUAAUAUGAACCAUCAUAGGAACUCUGACUGACCAAUGAUUCAUACUUUGAGUAUCCAAGAGCACAGAAGUUAUGCACCAGAUUAUUUCUAAACUUAGACAUUUAGUAAUUCCAAUCAGCAACUCCAAUAGGUUUGACCAGAGGCCGUGGCGGUGCCCUAGCUUAAUACCCAUGAAGUCACUUGCUAUCUGAAGCCUGCUAGAGUGUGUCAGAAAUAAACACCAAGGCCCAGAAAUCAUUAUUUCUGUUAUUGGUUAAACCGACGAAACAAAUAAGCUUAUCCCACUUUUUGAACGUGUUUCAUCCUCUGCCUAAGGGUAAGAAAAUUUUCAAUUUGCAUUUUAUUUAGUCAGUGAAUCUGCUAAUAACGGUAUGAAAGUGAAAUUCUGUAAGACUUUGAUUGCAGGAUGCCCAGAGAGCUUAAGCAAAAAGUCUGUGGAAUGACUACUUCUAAUACUCAUUUUUCCAUUUUUAGAAGGCUUUUCUUUGUUAACAUUCCUAUGUUUACACUUUGGUAUGAAUUCUUUAUUAUUAUGUUUUCCGACUAUCCUACCUCUUCUCACGAUGGCUGCUUCCGCAGACAUUCUGCCUGCACCAGACUCAGAAACUCAAAAUUAAAACUCUUGGAAGUUGCGUAUCUUUGAAGUAUCUGGCUUUAACUUGCUUUUCUGAGACUUCUGAACACCAAGCAAUACAUGGUAGGUCCAAAGGAGCACGGAUUUAGGAAUGAUGCAGUCAAGAUUUGAAUUCUGCAAGACCAUCCACAAAGCAAACUAAGGAAACUUUUGUUCUCAGAGCAGCAAGAGAAAAGAGAAAAGGAGCUUAUGGAGAGGUUAACAGGCAUUUGGUCCGGUCCAAAACAUCCAUAAGGCAUUUGGUCCAUGCAAUAAGACCCUGGAUAGCUGUCCUUUCCAAAAUGUCCAUGACUAUAUGUGGUUUCUUCCAAAACGUUCUGCACGGGAUCAAAUAGCAAGGACUUUUGCCAUGAAGCAAAUGUCUUACGGAUGUUUUGGAGAAGAGCAGAUAUGACCAAAUAUCAAAGACCUUUUGGCAGAGAUUAUCAAUGUUCUAUCAGUCUGGUGGACCAAAUGUAUUACAGAUGUUCUGGAGAGGACCAGUUAUGAAGGACCUUUGGGCAUGGACCAAAUGUUUGCAUGGAUGUUUUGCACAGGACUAAAUGUCCUGCAAGGUAUUCAAAAAAAAAUAAAGGAAAGGAAAUAAAUGGGAGGGAAAGGAGGUGAUGACACAAGACAGAAGUUCAUAUCUAUGUACUCUAGGGAGGUGCCCCGGGCAUUCGCUUGAACAAUCCUUGCACCAAUCCCUCAAAGUGAUUAUCGGGGUCACAGAUCUUCUGACCCUUGGUCUCAUCAUCAUUUCAACACCUGAGGUGCUUACUAUAAACUAUUCGUCAUUUCAAUUAUAAUUAUAUUUCAGACUCAGAUUUGAUAUUUCAGAUCAAACAAGUUCAGAAUACUAUGCCUUUUCUCCAAUCGAGUACAGUUUGCACAGCAGAGGAAAACAUUCGAGAACGGCUCCAAACGUCACAUAAAUUAUGUGCUAAGUUAUCAGCUUGUUGAAGGCUGCCGAGAGGAUCCCACACUCAAAAACCAUCAGUGCAAGGCAGAAGGUAGCAGAGCAGGAAGUGGGAAGCUGUCUUAAAACCAGAAUUGAUGUUCCUCACUAAGUGGCUGAUAACUCAUGAGACGUGGGUCUUCAAAUUACAGCACAAGGCUAAUUGGGAAAAAAAAAAGGGAGAAGGCUAUGAGCAAGUCAGUAUUUUCUCAGCAAUUUGCAUCAAGCUUAUCUUUGCAGAAGGACUGGGAACGCUCAUUAACACAACCAGGAGUUGGAGGUGCCACUGGGAAGCCUCUGCUGUUGCAAUUCAUCCGUGAUUAUUAGCUAAGGGGAGACGUGCAUGCGGUAAUUCAAAUUUGAAGGAUGACAGCACAGGAUGCAAAGAGGGUAUCACAUUUCGCUGCCUCCUCUUUCUCCGCAGAGAGGGUGGUCCUUGAGCACAGCACUUUCACCGACUGGUUGGUUUAAAAGCCAUCCCCAAUACUUCUAGUAAAAGACAGGCGGCUCUCAAGACAAAUGUCUCCACGUCUGUCAUUACGAGAGACUUUAGGACGGAAAAGAGUGAAAAGGGCAAGACAUUAUCUAAAAAUCUCACUCUGGUAAGGACCUCAAGUAGCCCAUGAUGUAUUCCGCCCCACCUCCAGCCCUGUCUUCCUUCUCUGCCCCUUCCCCCAAAUAACCAAAGUCCAGACAUCCUUGACGCCUGGCUAGAUGAGCAACCACCAAGCACGGGAUAACUUUUGUUCUUUGCGCUCAGUUUAAUAGGACUGGAUGACGGUACUGAUGCAAGCUUGGAUUAUUUGCAAGAAACAAAGGUGGAAAGAAAAUGGUUCUAUAGCCUUAACGAGAACAUUCCAAUAAUGGGGCCACUUCAUGCCCUGAUUUAAGUGCCUCAUUUUUUUCUUGUGGAGGCCCCUGCAGGAUGCAGACGUUCCCAGGCCAGGGAUCAAACCCAUGCUAAAGCAACAACCCAAGCCG
rnacentral:lncRNA from 9 species